rnacentral:rRNA from 1 species
AGUAGUUUGACUCCUGGCUCGAGGACGACGCUGGCGGCAUGCCUAACACAUGCAAGUCGAACGGAGUGCGUGAAGCACCAAUUGCUUUGAGGAGAAGAGAAGAAGAGUGAUUGGUGCUUUGCGUACUUAGUGGCGAACGGGUGAGUAACGCGUGAGCAACCUGCCUCGGCGAGGGGGAUAACACUUGGAAACAGGUGCUAAUACCGCAUAAGACCACACUGUCGCAUGACAGAGAGGUCAAAGGAGCAAUCCGCGCUGAGAGGGGCUCGCGUCCCAUUAGGUAGAUGGCGGGAUAACAGCCCACCAUGCCGACGAUGGGGUAGCCGAGCUGAGAGGCUGAUCGGCCACACUGGAACUGAGACACGGUCCAGACUCC